UGAGUGUUUAGCACAAAAUAAUACAUUUUGUAACAUUGCUACAGGAUCAUCAAUCGCCAUAGAUGGAUUUUCUGUGAAUGCUAUUUUACCACCCCUUGAUUAUUUUGUUACAUACGAGGGUUCGUUGACACAACCAGGAUGCAUGGAAACCGUUACUUGGAUUAUACUGAACAAACCACUGCAUAUAUCAUUUUCACAGGUAAU
rnacentral:lncRNA from 1 species